rnacentral:rRNA from 1 species
AGUGAACGCUGGCGGUAGGCCUAACACAUGCAAGUCGAACGGCAGCACAGUAAGAGCUUGCUCUUACGGGUGGCGAGUGGCGGACGGGUGAGGAAUACAUCGGAAUCUACUUUUUCGUGGGGGAUAACGUAGGGAAACUUACGCUAAUACCGCAUACGACCUACGGGUGAAAGCAGGGGAUCUUCGGACCUUUCGCGAUUGAAUGAGCCGAUUUCGGAUUAGCUAGUUGGCGGGGUAAAGGCCCACCAAGGCGACGAUCCGUAGCUGGUCUGAGAGGAUGAUCAGCCACACUGGAACUGAGACACGGUCCAGACUCCUACGGGAGGCAGCAGUGGGGAAUAUUGGACAAUGGGCGCAAGCCUGAUCCAGCCAUACCGCGUGGGUGAAGAAGGCCUUCGGGUUGUAAAGCCCUUUUGUUGGGAAAGAAAAGCAGCAGGUUAAUACCCCGCUGUUCUGACGGUACCCAAAGAAUAAGCACCGGCUAACUUCGUG